CAGCCGCCGCGGUAAUACCGGCGGCCCGAGUGGCGGUCACUAUUAUUGGGCUUAAAGCGUCCGUAGCCGGGGUGGUUAGUCUCCCGGGAAAUCUGGCCGCUUAACGGUCAGAAUUCCGGGAGAUACUGCCAGCCUAGGGAACGGGAGAGGCCGAGGGGAUUCCCGGAGUAGGGGUGAAAUCCUAUAAUCCCGGGAGGACCACCUGUGGCGAAGGCGCUCGGCUGGAACGGGUCCGACGGUGAGGGACGAAGGCCAGGGGAGCAAACCGGAUUAGAUACCCGGGUAGUCCUGGCUGUAAACGAUGCGGACUUUGUGUCGGACAAGCUAUGAGCUUGUCCGGUGCCGGAGGGAAACCGUUAAGUCCGCCGCCUGGGGAGUACGGCCGCAAGGCUGAAACUUAAAGGAAUUGGCGGG
rnacentral:rRNA from 1 species